GAUUCUUGAACUUCGUUCCAUUAUCUAAAAAAUCACAUGCUUUUGGUUGACAUUGCUGAAACAAGCAGGGUGUUUGAUUUGUAGUGUUGAGAUAUUGGAGUGAACCAAACCUAUAGGGUUUCAUUUUCCUGGAUUAGCUGCAUUUUCCCAAUUCUUGAAGUAAUGGCGGCACAAUGCAUAUAAAUGAACUAGGUAUGUGCAUAUGUGUUGCCACAUGAGUAAAAAUUGUAUGAAACAUAGAUAUGGAACGGCAAACAUCACUAUGAUAUACAAAUCCGUGUGACAAACAUUAUCAAUAUCGCACAAAUUAUUUCUAAAGAGUCAAUAUAGAAUUAAUAACAAGCAAAUAUGUCGACAAUUGUACACUAAUCUAAUUCUUUUUUGCGAUAUUGAUAAGUCUCUGUUGUAUGUUUGCAGGGAUGACAUAUCGGCACAAAUUGUCCUCAUAACUUAACAGAUCGAUCACAAAGUUUCUUCAAAAAAUCUUUGAAUUCUACACACAAAGACAUUAGACCCCUUUGUUUCGUUGGAAUUGAAUUCCAUUCUAUUAAUCAUAAUUUAGACAUAAAAUAAUUAAGUUAAUAUAUUUGUAUAUGUAGUAUAUUUGUAUAUUAUGCUAAAUCAUAUGAGAGAGAUUAUAUACUACACUUAUGCUAUAGAGAAGCAAGUAGAACAGUGUCUUAUAAGUUGUACAUUAGAAAAAUAGCAUGUAAAUAUAUCGAAUCAAUUUUCUUCUCUCACCCUAUAAAUUUGAG
rnacentral:lncRNA from 1 species